UACUGUUAAUUAUCAAAGUUAAACUGAGGAAAAAAAGAAAAACMUUACUUAGAACAUUGUUUUUCCGAGGCUUAACAGCAACAGGAAGAAAUGUGAGAAGAAGAYACAUGUCCAAGAAACAAAUGUGGCUUUAUAAACUGCUCAGUGAUUUUUAAAAGAGAGUGUUUGCUCCCUCGUUUCAUCCRAGGGAGUCUCUGUAUGUGUGCUCACACUCACAGAAUCACAUGAAAUGACAUGGGAAAAGGCUUUAAACUUUUCAGUAAGAUAGUUUUGGCAAAACCUGUCCUUUAACAGUGUAAUUAGUCACGGAUAGGUUUGUGAUAUGUAGAUACAGCACUUCAUGCUCAGUGUUCAAAUUCUAUUGAUAAAACUUCCUUGCCUGGGUGCUAUAUGACACUUUUCCUUUAUUUUUUCAGAGAAAUCAACUUCCAAACUGCCUAUUUUAAUGCYAGGAUAAAGAAGAUUUGCUUCAGAUUCUGUCGGUGGUAUCAUCUGUGUGUUGAUAAUAAUAAAACUCCCCUGUUUACAAAUGACGUGUUUACAGAUUGCUCUUUCUACUGCACUGCCAGCCCUAGAGAAGGAGGGAAUUUUAUUCUACMCAGUGAAAUGCAAAGAAGCAGGAAGAGAAAAUGUUGUCAGUUCCUUUUAUAAACCUUUUGCACAGACAGACACUACUCAAACUACUCACCACUAGUGUACCAUGGAGGUGGUGAUCCAUAUCUGUAAUUUACUGGUGAACCUGCAGAAGGAAAGAAAGUUGUCAGAAAAACUCACACAAAAAUGGAAAAUUUGCACACUAUCUGCAUGGUCCAUGUAAGAUGUCAGGGAACUAAUAUGUCAGAAUGAAUUUGAGUCUUUUCCAUGAAGACUUGAAAUAGCUACACAGACAGAUACAGUCCGGCACUAAUCUCCAGAGCAAAAACAUAAAUCUAACUCCUCCGUUUCCAGGAUUGCCCAGCCAGCAAUUUGAUGGAUCAGUAGCUGUGCCUCUUUAAUAAAGCAGAUGCUUUUUGUACAAGUGACUGAACAUGUUAAUUUAYCCAGAGAUGCUGACAUCAUAGUUCCUUGCUUUAUAAUAUUGCAAAGGAGAUGCAAAUUGAAGUCCAUCCUCUGUUCUUUGGGAACAGCUUUCAGGAAAAAACACUGGUUUGAUGAACAGGCAUUUACUCCUUAAAAACUAUUCAGCUGAGACUUUUUCACCUCUUWUUGUUCAAUCUUUAGGUAUGCUUUMAGUAGUGAGCAGAAUUUGGUAGUUUUUGUUWAAGUACAGUUGUAAUGCCAGAAAAGGCAGUCUCUACCUCUCUGGUAAUUUCAGUUGACAGAUCCUGCUCCAUUCAAAAACUUGUAUUAAUUACUUACCCAGUACAGGAGCUGUGAACAUUCCUGCUUGAAUGAAACAAA